rnacentral:lncRNA from 1 species
AUGAAAUUUUGAUUGGGCGAUAAGUGUGGGGACUGCUGCAUUUGUGUCUCCCAUUGUUUUGUCACCAUAUAUCUGGGUUAAAUCCUGCCAAGUUGGCCUACGCCUUGGCCAAAACCCGGAGCUUCAAGGACCGCACUUGUGCAUGGGGUAUGUGCAGCCAGAUGGAGAGGAAAAUGUGUGCAAAUAUCCCUGGAAAAUAAGCCAUUAAACGAGGCCAGAAAGUGGGCAUUGAGUGUUUGCCCAUCAUAAAUUGGGCAAAAAUUGCCUGCAAGCUGCACUGCAAAAAAAGAUCGCAAAGCUAUGUCAAAAUAUUAAAAUGGCAAACAGUUCCUAAAGAUAUGGUAACAUACGGUUUUGACUUUAAUUCUACUGUACAAUUCUAAAUAAAAGCAUGAUAUGCAAGUACCAUCUGAAACAG